rnacentral:rRNA from 1 species
AGAGUUUGAUCAUGGCUCAGAACGAACGCUGCCGGCAGGCCUAACACAUGCAAGUCGAACGCUCGUAGCAAUACGAGAGUGGCAGACGGGUGCGGAACACGUGGGAACAUAUCCUUUGGUUUGGAAUAACUCAGGGAAACUUGAGCUAAUACCGGAUAAGCCCGUAAGGGGAAAGAUUUAUCGCCGAAGGAUUGGCCCGCGUCCGAUUAGCUAGUUGGUGAGGUAAUGGCUCACCAAGGCGACGAUCGGUAGCUGGUCUGAGAGGAUGAUCAGCCACAUUGGGACUGAGACACGGCCCAAACUCCUACGGGAGGCAGCAGUGGGGAAUAUUGGACAAUGGGCGCAAGCCUGAUCCAGCCAUGCCGCGUGAGUGAUGACGGCCCUAGGGUUGUAAAGCUCUUUCACCCACGACGAUAAUGACGGUAGUGGGAGAAGAAGCCCCGGCUAACUUCGUGCCAGCAGCCGCGGUAAUACGAAGGGGGCUAGCGUUGUUCGGAUUUACUGGGCGUAAAGCGCGCGUAGGCGGAUCUUUAAGUCAGGGGUGAAAUGCCGGAGCUCAACUUCGGAACUGCCUUUGAUACUGGAGAUCUUGAGUUCGGGAGAGGUGAGUGGAACUGCGAGUGUAGAGGUGAAAUUCGUAGAUAUUCGCAAGAACACCAGUGGCGAAGGCGGCUCACUGGCCCGAUACUGACGCUGAGGCGCGAAAGCGUGGGGAGCAAACAGGAUUAGAUACCCUGGUAGUCCACGCCGUAAACGAUGGAUGCUAGCCGUUAGGCAGCUUGCUGCUUAGUGGCGCAGCUAACGCUUUAAGCAUCCCGC